rnacentral:rRNA from 1 species
CCUAGUGGUGAUAGCGGAGGGGAAACACCCGUUCCCAUCCCGAACACGGAAGUUAAGCCCUCCAGCGCCGAUGGUAGUUGGGGCCAGCGCCCCUGCGAGAGUAGGUCGCUGCUAGGC